rnacentral:lncRNA from 1 species
UUGAGUAUUUUGUGCCACCCCGGGAAUAAAGAGAUCAAGAAGACCCAGCCCUGGAAGCAAGAAGACAGGCAGAGAGGCGAAGGGGGCCGCGAGCCAAGCAUACGGUUCUUCCUUCUGAAGAGGCAAGAAUUGAGGUUGCUGCAGACCUGUACAGAUUCACUGCCACUAACGUAUUAUAUUUGGGUGCUACGUGAUUCAGGAGGAGUAAGAUGUACCAAGGAAAACAAAAACAAACAAACAAAAUGGAGAAGAGAAGGAUUGUUGGACUUAUGUGGGAUGCAACUCUGGAGUGGGCUCCCGAUAAGAGGAUGAAUUCAGCCCUCCUUCCUCUUCUUUCACGUGUUCUCUUGCCCUUCCACCCUCCACCAUGGGAUGACACACCAAGAAGGC